AACUCGAUUGGUAUGUGAUUAUUUCUCUAAUAAUUGCACUUGUUCUAAAUUGAGAUAGUUUAUUUGUAUGCAGUAGUUUUAUGAUUCAGAAGACCAUGCCAUCAUUCCAUUUCUGUCUCAGUUUCUUUAGAUAGGCUUUCAUUUUUGCCAAGUUCAUGAAUUUUAAAUAAUGUUUUUAAUGCUAUUUAAAAAUGUCAUGUAUCGUAUAAACAUUGUCCUGUUUCUUCAAGAUUGUGUAUCAUAAAGCAUUCUUAGUGGGCUUUCUUUUAUGUUUUCAUCUAGUAUAUUAUUUAUAAGAAUAAUUAUUAUAAUAAUUCAACAUAUAGCAUUUUGAUUUUGUCUUGCUCGUUUUUUUUUCCCGAAACAUAUAACAUAUAAUCUAAGCUGCUUCUUGAUGUAGUGGUUGAAUACUCUAUUUUGUUUUUGAUAUUUUCUUUCUAUUUAUGUGUUGUUAAGUGCACGUGCAUGGGUUGCUUUUAAUUACCCUAGUGAAAGUCUUUUUGCCUUGUAAUUGAAGAUUUGAUCAUUUUCAUAUGGGGUGGAAAGGAAGGUUUGAACAACAGAUAAAAAUUACCAGUUCUCUGUUAUAUUAAAAGUAAGGCAAGACACCUCUAGUUUGACUUUUUUUUUUUUUUUACUUGGAAGAUAUUCUUACUGUAAAUAUUGUCUAACAAAUUCAAUUGUUUUAAUGAAAAAAAUAUGGAUUAGGAUAUAUAAUUCAUGUGAUAUAUGUUAAGUUGUAAUUUUUGUCAUUAUCUUAUAUAUGUUUCAUGUGAGGCAGGCAAUGGAAGCUAUAGGUGUUACUCUUGCAGUAUUGUGCUCAAAUAAUAAGCUUUAUACAUCAGAUGCCUAACAUAUGGUUUUACACUAUGAUAUUAUGAGGACUUGGCGGGUGGAAGUUGUAGGACAUAGUAAAACGAAGUGGCUAGUAGUCCUUAAAAUAAGUCUUUCAGUAUGUGCGCAAAUGUUAAGCUGUAGGUGUUACUUUUUGUUCUUUUACAGUAAAUUUUGGUUUCGUAUGACUUUGAAAAUCUACAAGCAUGUAUUGUCUAUUUUGAAAGUAGUUCAUAAAAUGUUCUUAAACUAAAUGUUUAGUUCUCUUUUAGGUAAGAGAACAUGUUGUAGCAAAUCUAGCAGAUUUUGAGAAGGGUGGGGAUGAAGCUAAAGACUUCCGUGAUAAAGGCUUAUAAGGAAGUAAAUACUGAUACUUGUAUUUAAUGUGGGUCAUAUGUUUAGAAUACUAAUAUAAGUUGAGUCUCAGAUUGAUUUUGUUCUUCAAGACUGGGCCCACGGUCCUUCGAAGCUACAACACUCUUCAAUUCUGAAAUCUGUUUUGGGAAUUUAAUUCGUUGUUAUUGUAUUAUCGGAAAUUUUCUUAAAAAAUAAACAUUUAUUGUACAACUUUGAUAAUUAAAUAAAAUAUAAUUUAAUCUACA